GGCAGUACAGUCUAGUGGACAGGUCACCAGACUAGGAGUCAGGGGACCUGGGUUCUAAUCCCAGUUCUACCA
rnacentral:tRNA from 1 species